GACGAACGCUGGCGGCGUGCUUAACACAUGCAAGUCGAACGGUAAGGCCCUUUCGGGGGUACACGAGUGGCGAACGGGUGAGUAACACGUGGGUGAUCUGCCCUGCACUUUGGGAUAAGCCUGGGAAACUGGGUCUAAUACCGGAUAGGACUACGCGAUGCAUGUCGUGUGGUGGAAAGCUUUUGCGGUGUGGGAUGGGCCCGCGGCCUAUCAGCUUGUUGGUGGGGUGAUGGCCUACCAAGGCGACGACGGGUAGCCGGCCUGAGAGGGUGUCCGGCCACACUGGGACUGAGAUACGGCCCAGACUCCUACGGGAGGCAGCAGUGGGGAAUAUUGCACAAUGGGCGCAAGCCUGAUGCAGCGACGCCGCGUGGGGGAUGACGGCCUUCGGGUUGUAAACCCCUUUCAGCACAGACGAAGCGUAAGUGACGGUAUGUGCGGAAGAAGCACCGGCCAACUACGUG
rnacentral:rRNA from 1 species